rnacentral:rRNA from 1 species
AUGAUGGAGGCGACCGCGUUGAGCAUCGGCAAGUCCGUGCUGAGCGGGGCCCUUGGCCUCGCCAAGUCCGCCGUUGCGGAGGAGGUGGCCCUGCAGCUGGGAGUACAGCGCGACAAGGCCUUCGUCACGGACGAGCUGGAGAUGAUGCAGUCUUUCUUGAUGGUGGCGCAUGAUGAGCAAGGCGAGCACAACAAGGUGGCCAGGACCUGGGUGAAGCAGGUCCGCGACGUCGCCUAUGACGUCGAGGAUUCGCUCCAGGAUUUUGUUGUUCGUGUGGACAAACUGUCUUGGUGGCGCAUCCCUCGCAUGCUUCUCGACCGUCGCCAUGUUGCCAAGCAGAUGAAGGAGCUGAGGACCAAGGUCGUGGACGUGAGCCAGAGAAACUUGCGCUACGGCCUCAUCAAGGGGUCUAGCUCCACUCAGCAUGCUGCUGAUGCUGCCCCUACUGCUGCUGAUGCUGCUAUGUUUGGCGUUGAUGAAGCAAGGCAAGCUGCGAAGCAACACCGAUCAAGAUCGGAUCUUGCCCGGCUGAUCAGCACGGAGGGUGAUGACCAAAUUGGAGUCAUUGGUGUAUGGGGAACAAGUGGCAGUGUUGGGCACAGCUCCAUCAUCUCGGAGGCCUAUGAGAAUCCAAAUAUCAAACUUAGUUUUCCAUGCCGAGCGUGGAUCAGGGUGGAGCGGCCUUUCCAUCCAAACGAAUUUGUCCAGAGUAUAAUGGAACAGUUUCGAGCAACUGCCAUAGGUGUGGUUGAUUUUCCAUUGGAACUAGAGGCGGAGAAGGCGAGGCAUGAGUUUGCUCAUGAGUACAGUCGAUAUGUCAACAAGAAGAGGUAUCUGAUCGUUCUUACCGGAUUAUCCACCAUUGAAGAAUGGCAUCGAAUCAAAACUUGUUUGCUGGAAAACAAAUUGGGGAGCCGCAUCGUAGUAUCCACAGAGCAUGUUGAAGUUGCAAGCUUAUGCCCAGGCCAGGAAAGUAUUGUAUCAGAGCUCAAGCAAUUGUCUGCUGAACAAACCAUCUAUGCUUUCUACCGGCAGAGUUCUCAUGGCGUUACAUAUCCAUCAAAGCCAGCAUCGUCUAGCUCAAAGUUACCCAACAUCGCUGAGAAUGAGAUACAAGAAGACCAAUCCAAUGCUGAUGUUGAUGGAAAUAUCACAGUGCAAAAGAGGUUCACACGCACCUACACAAUGACAGGUGUUCUGGAGGAAUUUCAGCUUAUUGGGCGAGAGAAAGAAAAAUCUGAUAUAAUUGAACUAAUUGGAGAACAAGCUAGAACCCAUCAAUUUCAGGUGAUAGUAGUAUGGGGAAUGGGUGGUCUUGGAAAAACCACUCUAAUAAAAAAUGUUUUCCAGAGCAAAGAGGUCAAUGGCUUGUUUGAAAAAUAUGCUUUUGUCACGGUCUUGCGGCCUUUCAAGCUUGAGGAGCUCCUUAGGAGCUUGGCAUUGCAACUUGAUGCAAACAAGGGAUCAAUGGACUUUGCAGGUGACACCCAAAAAAACAUUGCUUUGAUGGGAGUUGCAGACUUGAUUGAAGUGUUGGGUAGACGUUCAGAAGGAAAGAGUUGUUUGAUUGUUCUCGAUGACCUCUCAUCUACAGCAGAAUGGGAUGAAAUACUGCCAAGAUUACGUACAAUGAGAGAUCUGGUCGUUGUGAUCACCACAAGGCGAGAGGAUAUUGCUAAGCAUUGUUGCAAAAAACCGAAGUGCAUACACUUGCUCAACGGUCUUGAAGAAAAUAAUGCAAUUACCCUAUUCACAAGAAAGGUAUUUAAGAAUAUGACUACUGAUUUGGCUGAGCAAUAUCCUGCAUUGGUUGAACCAGCAAAACUAAUCCUAAAGAAGUGCAAUGGACUUCCCCUUGCGAUAGUCACCAUUGGUGGCUUCUUGGCUGAUCAACCAACAAAAACUGCUGCAGAGUGGAGGAAACUGAAUGAGCAUAUCAGUGUUGAGCUGGACAUGAACCCAAAGUUUGAGGUCAUAAAAACAGUCCUCAUGAAAAGUUAUGAUGGCCUACCCUAUUAUCUCAAGUCUUGUUUCUUGUACAUGUCCAUCUUCCCUGAAGACCGCAAUGUUAGCCGGAGACGUUUGGCUUACCGAUGGAUUGCUGAAGGUUAUGCACAAGACAAGGCCACAGCAGAUAGAUACUUCAUGGAACUCGUAGAGAGAAGCAUGAUAUUACCAACUCAACAAUCAGUUUGCAGCAUACAAGGAUUCGACUCGUGCCAGCUACACGAUCUGAUUCGUGAUAUCAGCAUUGCAGAGUCAAUGGAGGAAAAUCUUGUUUUCAGGCUGGAGGAAGGCUGCAGCUCGAACACGCACGGUGCAGUGCGUCACCUUGCCAUAAGCAGCAACUGGGAGGGAGAUGAGCGUGAGUUGGAGAGCACCGUGGAGCUGUCCCGUAUACGGUCAUUGACAGUGUUUGGUAAGUGGAAGCCAUUUUACAUUUCUGAUAAGAUGAGGUUUCUUCGGGUGCUGGACCUGGAAGGAACAGAAGGGUUAAGAAAUCAUCACCUUGAGCACAUUGGGGAGCUUCUUCAUCUAAGAUUCCUCUCUCUACGAGGGUGUCAUGAAAUCUUUUACCUUCCAGAUUCAGUGGGUAAUCUGAGACAACUUGAGACACUAGACAUUAAAGGGACGGGUAUAGCUAUGUUGCCCAGAACCACCAUCAAGCUUAGUAAGCUAUGUUAUCUGCAUGCUGGUAGCGGUUCAGGGGAUAAUGAGAAAUCUUAUUUUUCAAAGUGCGAAGACAUUUGUGAAAUGCAACGUGAUUUAUGUGUAGGAUGCUGCUCACUGGAUCUUUCAGACUUGGAUGGAUUUGGCAGGUGUGAGGCUUUCCAUCUUGUUUGCUGCUUAAUGUACCCUAAUAUCAUUAGGGGCAUAGAGAAUUCUGGUGUUAAGGUGCCAAGAGGGACCAGGAAACUGAAGGCCCUCCGUACACUUCGGUAUGUUCACCUUGCUUGGGGAACUGCCAUUAUAAAAGAGAUAAAAGGCCUCACUGGUCUGCAGAAGCUAGGAGUGGUCGGUAUCAACAAGAAAAAUGGUCCAGGUUUCUGUUCGGCCAUUUCCAGUCUCAGCCAUCUUGAAUCAUUGUCAGUGCGGUCAGGUGAUGGCCUAAAUGGCUGUUUGGAUGGCAUGUACACAGCUCCGGAAAACCUGCAGAGCCUCAAGCUAUCCGGCAGCCUGGAAAAAUUGCCGGAAUGGAUCAAGGGGCUCCAGAAUCUCGUGAAGCUCAAGUUAGAACUAAGCAAGCUAUCAGGGAACCUCGAAACCAUGCAAGUUCUUGGGAACCUACAAAACCUAUCCAUUCUGGGUUUGUGGGAUGACGGGUUUAAGAUCGAUGUACUCCGGUUCCAGACUGGCCUUUUCAGAAGGCUCACGGUGCUUGAUCUUUUCUACUCAAGGAUGGAAAUUAAAUUAGUGGAGUUUGAGGAAGAAUCAAUGCCCAAUCUUGAGUUGCUGACCCUUAGCCUUGGAGAUACUGAAAUUGCCUUCUCUGGGCUAGAACUUCUCCAAAGCAUCAAGGAAGUACGGCUUAGUGUUCAUAGCUACUUGUUUGGUACACCCAAAUCAUCAAAAAAUGGGGGAAAUGAAAAAAUGGGGAAAACAUUGUAUGAAUACAUGAAAAGAGAAGAAGAGAGAAACAAACCCAUGCAAGAUAAAGUCAGGCAGGAGUUGCAGGCGCAGCUUGAUAGGAAUAAGAAUCGUCCAGUCUUGAAGGUGCAAUGA